rnacentral:rRNA from 1 species
AUGGCGGCGGCCGUUGCGGCCAGUGGAGGGCUCGAGGCAUCCUUGAGCUUGUUUGAGUGGACGGGGGCACUACUGGGAGAGAGGAGGAGCUGCUGGAGUGCUCAGGGGCUCGGGGUGGGCUUAAAUAGCCAGCAGGGGAGGAGGUCGACCGGGCGUCGCCAUGGACACGCACCGCAGACACGUGUUCACGCGCUCGAGCUCGAAUGUAGACGAAGGCGGAGGCACAGGGGAGAGCUCACGGGGGCGGAGGCGGCCAAGGGAGCACGGGGAAGAAGAGACGAGCGAGCUCCGAGCCAAAUCGCCACUGUACGUGGCGGUUUGCGUCAGUGA